rnacentral:rRNA from 1 species
GACGUAGGGCGCGAGCGUUGUCCGGAUUUAUUGGGCGUAAAGAGCUCGUAGGCGGCUUGUCGCGUCGAAUGUGAAAUCUCAGGGCUCAACUCUGACAUUGCAUUCGAUACGGGCAGGCUAGAGUUCGGUAGGGGAGACUGGAAUUCCUGGUGUAGCGGUGAAAUGCGCAGAUAUCAGGAGGAACACCGGUGGCGAAGGCGGGUCUCUGGGCCGAUACUGACGCUGAGGAGCGAAAAGCGUGGGGGAGCGAACAGGG